rnacentral:rRNA from 1 species
GGGUGAGUAACACGUGGAUAACCUACCUAUAAGACUGGGAUAACUUCGGGAAACCGGAGCUAAUACCGGAUAAUAUUUUGAACCGCAUGGUUCAAAGUGAAAGACGGUCUUGCUGUCACUUAUAGAUGGAUUCGCGCUGCAUUAGCUAGUUGGUAAGGUAACGGCUUACCAAGCAACGAUGCAUAGCCGACCUGAGAGGGUGAUCGGCCACGCUGGAACUGAGACACGGUCCAG